AAAGCGUGCGCAGGCGGUUUUGUAAGUCUGUCGUGAAAGUCCCGGGCUUAACAUGGGAAUUGCGAUGGAGACUGCAAGGCUUGAAUCUGGCAGAGGGGGGUAGAAUUCCACGUGUAGCAGUGAAAUGCGUAGAGAUGUGGAGGAACACCGAUGGCGAAGGCAGCCCCCUGGGUCAAGAUUGACGCUCAUGCACGAAAGCGUGGGGAGCAAACAGGAUUAGAUACCCUGGU
rnacentral:rRNA from 1 species